GGAUGAGAAAGGUCAGAAGGAGUGCUGUUUGCUUCUGUGCACCUGUGCUACGUUCUGCUCAGACACCACCUCCAAGUGGCUAAGAAUUCUGGAGCAAACUGACCCAAAAGAGGGCAAAAGGGGAUGAUGAGUAUUUUCAUCUCAGGAGUAACAAGCCUGAGUGCUGGCAACACCACCAACGUGAAACCUUCUGAUAACCAGAAUCCUUCUUACGUAUAUGAACAUGUUGCAAUGAAUUCAGAGGAAUCUCCUGCGCAAUUGGUGCUCUGAAGACCACCGAUAAGUAUAGGUUUGUGCUUCCUUAUGACUGAUGCUGAUUCAGUACUAUCAGGCAAACAGGUGCCACACAGAAUGAAUGGUGGAAAUGACAAAUACUGAAGUGAUUAUACUGUGUGGGCAGCUUUCGUUGAUGGUCCAUUAAGAUUUCCAUGAGGUUGUAUCAAUAUGUAUUCCAUUCUGGAUUUACAUUGCUCCUUGCCUGACUCUACUGUUGCCGUUUAACUGGACUGAUGGAAAACAAUCACAAGAGGAUACAAAUUCUAAGGGAAAUGCUCCAAAAUGUCUUUUACCAGGUUGUAAAUAAAUAUGUCAUUUUUAAGAUUAUAAUGAAGCUCUAAUUGGUUGCUGAACAGUUCUGAUGUCAAAUUUGGAGACGAAAUCCAUAACUGAAAGGAAAAAUACUAGUCUGGAGUUCUGUGCAUUUCUCACUGUAAUGCUGAUCAUUAUAGUUAUACAUACUGUAUUUUCAUACAUCAUUACUAGAAUAAUAUAUAAAGCUCGUGCUACAAAAC
ensembl:lncRNA